GACGGACGCUGGCGGCGUGCUUAACACAUGCAAGUCGAACGGAAAGGCCCCAGCUUGCUGGGGUACUCGAGUGGCGAACGGGUGAGUAACACGUGGGUGAUCUGCCCUGCACUCUGGGAUAAGCCUGGGAAACUGGGUCUAAUACCGGAUAGGACCGUGCUUUAGUGUGUGCGGUGGAAAGUUUUUCGGUGCAGGAUGAGCCCGCGGCCUAUCAGCUUGUUGGUGGGGUAAUGGCCUACCAAGGCGGCGACGGGUAGCCGGCCUGAGAGGGUGUACGGCCACAGUGGGACUGAGACACGGCCCAGACUCCUACGGGAGGCAGCAGUGGGGAAUAUUGCACAAUGGGCGCAAGCCUGAUGCAGCGACGCCGCGUGGGGGAUGACGGCCUUCGGGUUGUAAACCCCUUUCGGCAGGGACGAAGCUUUUGUGACGGUACCUGCAUAAGAAGCACCGGCUAACUACGUG
rnacentral:rRNA from 1 species